rnacentral:lncRNA from 1 species
UUCUCUUAAUAUAUCAUCUCUAAUUUUCUUCCUGGUAAAAUGAACGAUUACGUCUCUUGGGACUUUGUUUCUUCUAGCGUAGUUGGUAGAUAUUCUAUAGGUCCUGUCUAUCUCUGGAUCCAUGUCUUCAUAUUCAGUUUGUGUCAGUUUGAAUGUUAAUUGUAUUAUUAAGUCCCUUAUGUUUUCUUUGCCUUCUUCUUUGAUCCUCUUUAAUCUAUCCCCGUUGUGUUACCUUCCUUAUCUGGUUUCCCUGCCUUUCCCUUUGCUGGUUUAUAUCCGUGGUCGCUCUGGUCUCUUUUCGUUUCUUUUCUUUCCCUAUUCUUUUCCCCAAUCUUCCUAGAUGUAUCUUAGCAGUCCUUUCGUCCUUUUUCUCAGUCUCCUUUACCUUUGGAUCAUGGUUCUCUUUGUUUCCUGUCUCUGUGUUCUCCUUUCUCCCUGUCAUCACGUCCUCCCUCCUUCUAUUGCCGGCUCUUUCUCCUGUCUUCCGCCUCUCUAUGGUCAGUGGGUAGUUGAAUUCCGUCCGUUCUGAGGGGAGGGACUCUUCCUCCACCCGGGCACACUUCCUCCUCACGCGCUGCUAUCUCCCAAUCUUUGUUUUUGGUAAGCUGGCCGCCGUAGACCAAACAAAUUUAUCUUCAAGGUCGCCAAACCUCUGACCAGCGUUUUGUUGAUUUACUCUGGUAAUGUCCUUUUAUUUAUGAAUUCUUAAAGUUCUUAUUUUAUUCUUAUUUAAUUCUUUAAUUUAAUUCUUUGGCUUUUUAGUUUGAAAUGAUGUACCUUUGAGGUACGGGGGGUAUGGGUAUAGAAGAGUUCGUUUCUUCCCGUCCUCUUCCCGUCCUCUUUCUCUUUUGAAAUAAUUUUAUAUCAAAAAGAAAGAUUUUAUUCUUCAAAUUCCCCUUCUUGUUUCUAAGGGUAGAGUCUUUUGGACAAUAUAAAGAAUGGAUAUUUUCUUUUCCGUACCUUCUUUCCAGAUCUUCUUUCUUGAAGUUAAAUCAGGCGAGUU